AAUGACCUAAAAAGUAAAAUACUAAAAAAUUCCAAGUUCUCCGCUCUGCUGCGGCGGGUUUAGUCGGCGGGGUAAGCUUUGAUUAAUCGGAUAAGAAGAUAAGAGAGGGAAAAACGGCAAAGGUGUGAAUGGAAUCGAAAGAAGAAAAGGAUAGAGUUUUGUUGAUGUAUUUAGUGGAAGAAUGUAAUUGGCCCUAUUUUCUGAAGAAGAAGAUGAUUGGUGGAAUCAGGUUUCCUGUUCAGAUCAGAUCUUACAAAUAGAGAGAGAAAAAGGAAGCAAAUUCCAUCUUUUUCUCUCUAUUUGAUGUUAUCCAACACCACUCAGGCCUUAAUUAUGGUGGAGGCUAGUGGACUGCCUUUUCUUUUGGAUGGGUGGCAACCCUUAAGACCAAUAGCAUCCUUUGAAACUCGGAAAUAAUGGAUUCACUCUUUUACCCUUUUCCACUUAAAAAUCAGGCUUAGUUCGUAUACUACAAGGCUCGAGCCAGUGGCCUAAAUCACAAGUCCCUCAACCUUUGCCCCUUGAACUAAGUCUGGUUGGUUUGAGACUGUUUUUCUUUUUUCUCCCAAUUGUGUUUUCAUUUCUUGUUUCUUUAGUCGUUUUAUUUUUUGAACACCGCAUAUAUAUAAUGAGACUUUUCUAGCCUAACCAAAAGGUCACAUGAACAUGCCUUAGUGUCAUAGACAGACUAUUAUGCACCACCGAAGUCAUCAAUGUACAUGAAUCCUGUGAAAGUCCAUUAUUUCACACUUUGGAGUUUCUCUAAUCUUGAUUUGGCUGAGUGUAAUGGACACUAGUCAAAUUGUUGGCUUUGAUGAUGAA